rnacentral:lncRNA from 1 species
AUGAUUUUCAAGGGUUUCUAAUUUUUUAUAUAUUAAAAUCAUAAUGCUAUAUAUGACCUUGAAUCAAGGUCUUCUGCACAUUAAAAGAAACUUAGGAAAUUCUACACUCUCUAUAUUUAUUUUGGAUUUUUAUUUCUGUGUAGAAAACUAGUUUUGGAUAUUAUAAAAUACAAAAGUAAAUAAGUAUCAAUGAUUUUGAACCAUCAAUUUAGCACCUUAAUUAGGAAGUGUAUGCAGUGAUGCAGCUCCUUUUAAAACUGCAAAGGAUCAUGAUACAUAGUACCUUAGUACUAUUACACACACAAACCAUUUUUAUUUUCUCAUUAUCAUCUCUAACAAAGACAUGUACACAAGUAAAAAUGUUAUUGACUCUCUGCAUACAUGAUACUUGAUGGCAACUUUUUUCGAAUUUCUUAAACUAUUUGGUGUCCACCACGCCCAGCUUCUUUGAGGAAGGAUGCACUCUGGGUGAUCUCACGCAAUGGCUUGUUAGUGUACCUAACAGUGUUGUAGACCCAUGCUCCGGCGAUGGCCCCCAAAAUCGGCGACAGCAAAUAUAUCCAUAUUCCUCUAUACUCAUUGUGUACAAAAGCUGGUCCUAGAGUUCUAACAGGGUUCAUCGAUGCUCCUGUUACCGGCCUGUCAAAUAAAAAAGUGACACGCCUCACUUUACAAAUUCGGUAUCUAACUAUUAGUUUUGCAUUUUUUUUUUAUGGAACAUAUUAGUAAUUUUACAUUUAACAUACCCGGCAAUCAUCACGUUAAGCAAUAAUGUAGACCCAAUUGCAAUUCCAGCCAACUCACCAAUCUACAAAACAUAGAAUAUGAAAAUAAAAUAAUGAAUAAAAAGCAUUAAAGAACGUUUAUAUGUAUAUGAGAUCGAUGUGUUUGAUGAGUUUACCGCUCUAGUAUCGGUGGCAACUCCAGAAAUGGUAAACAUAAGGUAAAAUGUGGUUAUGAAUUCAAGAACAAAAGCUUGAAGGUUAGACCCAGAAGGAAGUGUUCCUGAAAAGUGGUCAUGUGCGCCACUGAAUAUUAGUUUUAGAGUUCCACUAGCAAGUGUUGCUCCCAAGAGCUGAGCUGAUAUAUAAGCUGGUACCUAUAAGAAUUAUACAAAGGAUGAUUCAUAAAUGCAUAACAUGGUGGUAAAAAUAAUUUUUGGACAAAUUAAGUAACAUGAUUUCAUGGAGAAACAUUUUAGCUACUUAUUCAAGGAGUAUUUUUAUUUGGGAGCUUUUACGGUACCUAAUAAAUUGAAGAAUUUUGGUAUAAUUUUCUCAAUCAAUAAAUAAUAGUGUUUUUUAAUCAAAGAACUAUUUGUAAAUCCAUGUGCUUUAAAAAACAUCACUUCAUAAAAAUAACCAUAAUUAAGUUUUUUUUUUUUUUUUUACAGGAUAACAGACUUAAGUUUUUACAAAUUGAGUUAAAAAAAGGGGGUAGUUUUCCAAAUUAAAUUUCAAGAGAAGUGGGCUUUAAAGAGUCUUAAUUUCUUGUGGGCCUGCAGAUAAUUAUACCGAAAAAGUAGCUAAUCAAGAAGCCAAGAUUAAAAAUAAAAAAAAUAAAAAAAUUAUCUUGUAUUAUAUAAAGUAAAUAGAGUAUAUAUGUUAUCAACUUUGUAUUGUAUGUCAAAAUAUUAUUAUAUACAAAAAUAAACUUUAUGGAGAAAAAAGAUUGUGUGUAGUGUUGACCUGUAACAAUGGAAACCUCCUUGUGGUAGCAAAAGCAAUAGUAACAGCAGGAUUGAAAUGAGCACCAGAGAUAUGACCAAGAGAGUAAAUCAAUACCAACAAAGUUAGUCCCCAAACAAUUGCAAUCCCUGGAAGUGUUACUACGUUGUCGUUGUCCUUGUUCACUACUAUUGAUGCACAUCCUGCAAAUAUUAAGAAAUAUGUGCCCACCAUUUCUGCUAUUAACUGUAUUCACCAACAAACAAAACCUAAUUAAUUCAAUAUAUACUAUAUGAUCAAAAUCUUAUAUUAGUUCAGAAACGUAACAAACUAUAUAUGUAACUAUAUGUGUACGUAUGAUGAGUUUGUAAAGGAAAGAUUAGGAGACACCUUUUGCAAGAAAGGGACAGAGACAAAGGAGCCAGAGCCUUUACAUGUAUCUGAGGAAUCCUUGUUUGUAUCUAAAACAACCUCAUGGGUUUCAAUUCUUGCUGAAUUAUCAUUAGCCAUAAGUGAUAGAGAACAAGGAAACUAUUUAGAAAUUUAGAAACAAACAACACAAUACGC